GACGCGUGGGGCUGGUGCCUGUCGCCUGCAAAAUCCCUGCAUUGCCAUGAUGCCACAGCGCAUUCAUAAGACACACCACCGCUGCAGUAUUAUGCUGAUUUGCGGAAUGGUGUGUCUUAUUAAAUAGGUUUCAGGAACGCAGACGUCUCUGAGCAUGUGGGCGGGUCACUAAAGAGCUGCGGAGAAGUCCGUGAUGUCCUUCCUAAAUGCUGCGGGUUAGUAAACUGAAGCUGUCAUGAUCCGUGGUGAGCUGCCUGUCUGUAAUCCUGUUCUUCUCUGAGCUUCGUCUGCAGGUGGGCGUGUCUGGGAGCUACCAGUUGCAGCUGAUCCGGUCAUCAAGAUCCAGGGGAUUUAAGAAGCAGCGUGACGCUACACCUCGCCGGAUGAUUACUCAGUGUUUUCGUUCCACUUCCACCACCUCCAUAUCCGCUUGGACUACCGCAUUCCAGAUCACACUGCUUCCUCCCCUGGCCUCCCGCUCUCAGCCGCUCACCUGCCCUCACCUACCUCCGCUUCAACCCCGCCUCUGAAUAAACAGUUUCCUCGACACCUGGACCUCCUCAGCUCACCCGGACCUGACCAAGCCCUUCCUGUGCACCUAUUCUCUAUCAGCAAUGAAUCUCAUACCUGGAAUCCUGUGAUCAGUGCUGAGCUACUUCUGUUCCCGUGACUCCUCAGAGCUCCUCGUCAAAAAUAAAACCCCUUUUACUU